AAUUCAAUUGCACAAAGUGCGAAUUUCAAUAAUCAAUAUAGACGUGAAUAAUCAUCAAUAAUUAUUCACUAACAUGCUUUGAAAAUAAUAACUCGAGUUUGAGUUAGGAAACUUGCCUCGAUCGUAGGUUACGGCUACGAAAUUAAUUUCUAUCCACUAUGCAGUUAAAUUAUCUUCCUUUGAGAGACCUAUAAUUAGUCUUUCAAUUAGUCAAUGCAUAACAUCAGAUUAUGUAAUCACAUAGAUAUUAUACAUUACAAUAAGUUCUUAUAAACAUUAUCAUG
rnacentral:lncRNA from 1 species